UACGUAGGGGGCAAGCGUUGUCCGGAAUUAUUGGGCGUAAAGCGCGCGCAGGCGGCCUUUUAAGUCUGAUGUGAAAGCCCACGGCUCAACCGUGGAGGGUCAUUGGAAACUGGGAGGCUUGAGUGCAGGAGAGGGAAGCGGAAUUCCUGGUGUAGCGGUGAAAUGCGUAGAUAUCAGGAGGAACACCAGUGGCGAAGGCGGCUUUCUGGCCUGUAACUGACGCUGAGGCGCGAAAGCGUGGGGAGCAAAC
rnacentral:rRNA from 1 species